AUUUCGUUUUCGGAAGAUGUCGCCGCCUGGUAUUAACGGAACAUAUAUCUCAAUAAAUAUUAUGCUCACAGUUGCUGGUCAGUAUUUUCACAAUUUUUGUGGUUAGGUAAUAUUUGGUUUUGCCGACAUUUCCUAAAUCUUAAUUUUUCGUUGUCACAUUAAUUUAUGCUGAGAGGUUUGUCCCAGCUGCGGAAAAUGGCUUCUUCUGCUAUCCCCCAGAUUAAAAGUGUGGAUAUCGACCCGAGCGGAGUUUUCAAGUACAUUUUAAUCAAGGUUUCCAGCCCCAACGAGUCGGGGAAAUUCGAAGACAAGCUCAUCGUACGGGGUUAUGCGGAAUGCCCUUAUCACGCCGGCAUUAACGAUAAAACGACCGAGGAGCUGCAGACUCUAAAAGUCUCGAAAAGUAUUAGCGAUUGGCGCGCAAAGGUUCUCGGGGGAGGACGCAUCAAGCACGAUCCCCAAGCGAAGACCAUCAACGUUUACGGAUACUCGCAGGGUUACGGGAAAGCUGACCACAAGCAAACGGUCGACAUAUUGAAAUCGCAGUACCCGGACUACAGCAUCACGUGGGCCGAUGAAGGGUAUUGACUUGCCACCAUCACUUGGGGGUACCAAAGGAGAAAACCAUUUCACUCAUGGUCACACCAACUUUAUCCAGUAGCAUUGGUGGGUGUUUAGCUGAAGUUCGGGUGCUUGUGUCCUGAGUGAACAAUGUCUCUGCCUCUACGUAAUGGUGGAUAACAAAGACCCGAGAACCGAGCGCUGUGGAACACCGUACCGCAUUGGCUACACACUCUCACUACUUUGAGAGCAUUUAUUCUAACGGAUUUGUUUAUCUUAGUAAGAAAAUGCCUAAUUACACGUAAGUAUAAAACGACCAUAGAAUAACGAGAAAGUUGCUGGUAACAACUUUUUUUUUUCAAAGAAACUUCCACUGGCUACUGUAAUAUAUUUUAUAAACUCGAACUCGCUAACGUUUCGCCAAUCAUCCUGUUGACGUCUUCAGAGCUUGACUGAGACUGGCUCGCAUUUUACUCUAUGCCCGCUUUUAUAUUAUUAAAGAUCUUAAGCGUUCCAUCACAAAAUACACUCCACACUUGCGACUGUUGUCCUUAUAUUCACCACAUAUCAAAAGUUCUAAAGAAGUAUAACUCCAAAACCAGAUUUACCACUUAUCCAAAAAUCUGUCAACAUCUUCGAUCCGUCAAAGACAAAAUUGCAUUUGAGAUACCAGCAUUUUACAGCAUUCCAUAUGCGGCAAAGAAUACAUUGGAGAGACCGGACGAAAAAUAUCAGAAACCGAUAUAACUAAAUCAAUUCUUCUACCAACGAAAAAUCCGAGAGUCUAUAGAAAUCUAUAAGCAACCUCGACGGGAAUCAGUCAUCCGAUACGAUGUUUAUGCCCCUCAUUUAGCUCCGCCCGUCGCAAAAAAAUAACAGCAAAUACAGAAUAAUAUGCGAGCCAGUUUCCGUCAAGCUCUGAAGGAGCCAGCAGGAUGAUUGGCGAAACGUUAGCAACAACAACAAUCGACGCAGGAAGAAUCCCGAAGUUUUAUAAAAAGUAUAACAAUUAAAAUACUUGCCGUCGAAGAUGAAAGCGGACAAAGGAGUGGUAUCGAUUAAGGAAUUUGUUCUGAAGUUCUAAAGGCGGUGUUUGAUCUAAUAAGGGCCUGUCCCGUUGUCGGUAUUAAUUGGAAUCUGUCCGACACCCCUUUCCGGUACCCACAAAGCCUUGUUCACGGCGGUAGGAGACCGUAGGCGCCCUAAACGACGCAAUGCGGGACCAGUGUUGCGUGUUUAUACAUUCAACAAUUUAAUGAUUGUCGUACACGACGGUUAUUGUCUGCAGAACGGGGACAAUGAUGUCGGAUGUACUCCAGUAUAAACAACAUACAGAAACGACAGAAAUGUCAGACAAUUGUUAAAUUGGUAGCACCAAUCGAUCAUGCUUAAUGUCUCUCGGUAAACGUUGCAGAUUACUAAACUUAGUAAGAGAAGACAACGAUCCCGAGAGUUUUGACGAACUCCUAGAGACCAAUGGACAAGAAACCCAAAGCAAAAUUAAACUAACCAAAGUUGAUAGCGAUAUCAGAACUGCAUCCCUGCACCUUAGACGAAAUACGCGGAAUCGGAGCAUCUCGUUCUCGUGUCGCUUUUCCUCCAAGACUCUCCAUAAAUCUAAAGACGUGAGUCGCGUCAACUUAUAAAUAACUCCGGCUGUUCCGCAGAAGUUCGCAUCAAUCACGCACGGGAUUGAAAUUUGGCGCGGCUAAUCCUAUUACCGAUUCCGCACCUUGUUAAUUCGCCAGACGUAAACUAGCAAGCGCGCCAUAGACACGCUAGACGUUUCGCAGGGACUUCGUGUAUUUUCCGGGGAAGAGGAUAAAUAUAUUCAAAUAUUCGAAUGAAAUACGAUACUUCGUAUUGUACAGGGAUAUCAUUUUAAGUGUCUCACUUGAAAUGGAAGACUGUAAGAAACGGUGUUGUUUUAAUGAUUUCAGGUUGUUUAUGUAGACGCUCCAAUAUUGGUUCGUUGUGGAUUCUGUCAACCCAGCUUAGACGUAGCAAUUUCUUCAUCCGAAAAAAAGCCGCUAUAGCUUUUUCUAUACGAAUUUUGAUUUCUUGGCUCAUAUCCCAGUUGUUGUUUAUGUUAGAGCCCAGGUACGUAUUAUUAUCUACCUGCUCAAGCGGGACGCCAUACGCUGUAUACACAUAUACACACUGAUUGUUUACUUACAAUCAUACAUUUCGUCUUUGAGGUUGAGUUUUAGUUCAUAUUCGUUACAUACAUUGGUGAGUCUAUCCCAAAGCAUUUGCAGUGCUUCCGGAGUAUUGGCUAACAGAACAGUGUCGUCAGCAUAUCUUAAGUUAUUGAUGCUAACUCCAUUUAUUUUAAUCCUUCUAUAGAAUUCAUCAAGACCUUCCCUGAAGAUGUACUCAGAGUACAGUGGCAUGCAUCUCCCGGCGCAUUGCCACUGUGUCAGAGAUGUUUUGGUCAAUCCUAAUGUUUACUCGUCGAUGCCAAUAAAGGUUUUUAAUUAUUCGCAUUUUCCUGUCGUCAAUGCCUACUUGUUGGAGUAUUUCCAUCAGUUUGUCGUGCCUGACCUUGUCGAAAGCCUUCUCAAAGCAUUGUGGACUGGAAGGUAACAAAAGCCCACCUCCUAACAAACAAAGGAGCAGAAACGUCACCAACAGGUUGGUGAUCACUAUAUCACGGCAAGGAAUGUCAUCAAAG